rnacentral:piRNA from 1 species
UGAGCCUCGGCCUGAGCCAUAGGUGUGGGCC